rnacentral:rRNA from 1 species
AAAAUAGAUACCCCUGGUAGUCCACGCCCUAAACGAUGCGAACUGGAUGUUGGGUACAUUACGGUACUCAGUGUCGAAGCUAACGCGUUAAGUUCGCCGCCUGGGGAGUACGGUCGCAAGACUGAAACUCAAAGGAAUUGACGGGGGCCCGCACAAGCGGUGGAGUAUGUGGUUUAAUUCGAUGCAACGCGAAGAACCUUACCUGGCCUUGACAUCUGUCGAAUCCUGCAGAGAUGCGGGAGUGCCGCAAGGAACGACGAGACAGGUGCUGCAUGGCUGUCGUCAGCUCGUGUCGUGAGAUGUUGGGUUAAGUCCCGCAACGAGCGCAACCCUUGUCCCUAGUUGCCAGCACAUAAUGGGUGGGAACUCGUAGGGAGACUGCCGGUGACAAACCGGAGGAAGGUGGGGAUGACGUCAAGUCCUCAUGGCCCCUUACGGCCAGGGCUACACACGUACUACAAUGGUCGGUACAGAGGGUUGCGAAGCCGCGGAGGUGGAGCCAAUCCCAGAAAAACCGNUACCCAGUCCGGAUCGGAGUCUGCUAACCG